GUGUUUUUUUCUUUUUUUUUUUUUUUUUUGGGUUAAAUGCAUGCAUGUUUUUUUAAAUAUAGUAAAUUACAAAUGUGUUCUUCCAAUAUUCAAUUUUUAUAUAUUAUUUUUAAUUUUUUAUAAAAUUUUUAAAAUUUUCAAAUAUUUUUCUCUGAUUUAUUAUCAUUAUAGAAUUAUUUAUACUUUAAAUAAAUAUUAAUUUUGCCAUUACAAAUAUGUCCCUCCAAAAGCCACAAUAGUAUAAUGUAAGGGGCGUCAAAUUAUCUCAAAGUUAAGUAUUUAACAUGUGAUUAGCUAAAGUUUGCUAACGUAUUCUAACGGUAAGGAUAUAUUUGAAAAUAUUAGAAUUUUUGUAAAAAUAAUAUAUAAAAGUUAAAGUUUAUAAAAAUAUAUUUAUAAUUAACUAUAUAUUUGCAGGAAUUUGCAUGAAAUUAUUUUUACAAAAAUUCUAAUAUUUUCAAAUAUAUCCUUACCGUUAGAAUCCGUUAGAAAAAAUUAAUUAACCAUAGAUUAAAUACUUAACACUGGUUAGUUUUUGACAUUUUUCCUCUUUUUAUAUUAUAUUGUUAUGCCUUUUGGAGGGAUACAUUUGUGACAAUAAAAUUGAAAAUAUAAACAGUUUUAUAACGGUAAUAAACUAGAAGGAUAUAUCAGGGCUUUUAUAUGAAUAACAUAUAAAAGUUGAACUUUGUAGGGAUAUAUUUAUUAUUCAUUAUAUUUGUAGGGACCUGUAUGAAAUUAAUUCUAAAUCUUUUGACAAUAUCCCCAAUCAAAAGUUGGCUUAAAAGGCCGGAAUUUUGAUUUGUAUUNCGAUAUUUUAUAUUUUUUAAAUUUAAAUUUGAUCUAAAAUUUAAAGUUUGAAAUUUAAAAUUUAAAUUUUUAAAUUUAAAAUUUGAGAUUUUAAAUUUUAAAUUUUAAUUUUAAAAUUUGAAACUUAAAAGUUAAAAUUUUAAAUUUUAAAAUAUAAAUAUAAAAUAUAAAAUUUAAAAUUCUAAUAUAAAGAAAAAUGAUAAUAUUAUUAUUUUUUAUUUAUAACUAUCCACUUCAAUUCUUAUUCCAUCUUACCGAACCAAAUGUUAUUUUUCUUAUUCUCAGGAAUAACCUAAUUUUCAUCCAAAUGUAAAAUUAAUCUAAUCCCUGCUUAUACCUCAAUUUAUACCUAUUCCUGGAAUACCCAUUUUUUGCUUAUACUCGAAUCAAACGAUACCUAAGUUUAUUAAAUUUUCAUUAUUGUACCUGUAAUUUUGAAGUUUUGGUUUUAGCUUGUCAUAGCGCUGUAGACCGUAUUUUUAUGAAUAAAUCUUUUAUUUUAAAUUAGAUUGAAAAUGAGAUAUAAAAUAAAUGAAUAUGAUAUUGUACUGUACAGUAUAGAUAUACGAAUACAAUAGAUGCAAGUAAUAAUACCGUCAACAACCUUUCUAAUGGCAAGGUACCAUAAGGAUACUAGAAGGUCAAAAAUAUCUUAGAUUACAAAAAAAAUCUAUUAAAAAGUUUAUUAACUAGUUGUAAAUAUUAUCUUUUUUUAAUCAAAUAUAAGAUAUAUCUAAAUUCAAAUCUUUUCAUUCCGUGAAAUCAUAAUUAAAUAUUUAUUUUCUAUCAAAUUGAUCAAUCGAGUAAUAUAAUAAAUUACUCCUAACUAAAAAUUUCUGUGUUUCUGAAAAAUUUAUGAAUUUAUCAUGCAAAAAAAAAAAAAAGGAAAAAUGGGAGGACAUUUAAUACAGGUUUGGACUUUGGGACCCCAAAAUAACGGACAUGUAGUUAUUAUGAGAAAAUUAGAAAAAUGCCGUGGCCAAUUUUGUUGUCCAGUGCCUUUGAUUUGCUGAGGUAAAUAUUAAAUUUACAUACAUAAAAUUAAAAAAAUACAAGUAUAAUGUCAAAUUAUCCGGUUUAUGGAGGGGCUUUCUGUAAUUCGUCCCUCCGGGCUAUAGCCGUUGACUCAUAGUGCAAAACAACCUUUCCGUUCCCGAGCAUCGCACGCCACACACAUCUCGGCCCACCCACGCGCCGAACAUAGAAAUAGUAGAAUAUAUAGAUUAUAGUAUGCUCUCAUUCCAUUAUGCGCUAAUGACGGACAGUUUCUUACUUGAUGUAUGUUAUCACAUACAGAAAUUUAAACGUGGUUUAUUAACGGUGUGGACGGGUAACCUCACCCACCCGCGGUCCUUACUGUUGGCUUAAACGGUUCGGCAUCCUGUCUUGUGGCGGAGGCCGAGUUGGAUCGAGUUACGUUCGAAAUGAUGUGAGAUUGGAUAGAUCGAGUUAUGUGUGAAGUCGCGUGAGGCCGGAUGGACCGAAUCACAAUUACGUUUUAAAUAAAUUGGUUGCGUAUCUAACAGCUAGAGCUUUUGGGAUUAAUAAUUAGCACUAACAAUCUCAUCCUUACGAGAAAAAAUUUACUAUAUCAUCAAAAAUAAAUUAAUCAUAUCUCUUCCUUAAAAAAUCAAGGACAACAAAAAUAUUUUUUAUAAUUAUAAUGAGACGAAUAAAUUUAAAAAAAUUAUUCGAUUGAUGAGGAACACUGUUUCGCUAAAAAAAUUAUUCGAUUGAUUAGGAACACCGUUUCACUAAUAUAACUAAUGUAUUUUAGAAAUUUUCCUUCUUAUUCUCACUUCUUUUUAUCCACCUACUCCACCUCAGAAUUAAAGUUUAUAAUUUUAAAUUUUAAAUUUCAAACUUUAAAUUUAAGAUCAAAUUUAAAUUUGAAAAAUAUAAAAUAUCAAAUUUUAAAUUUCAAAUUAAAAUAUCAAAUUUAAAAUUUAAAAUUUAAAAUUUAAAAUUAUAAAAUUUAAUUUUGAGACUAUAAAUUAUAAAUUUUAAAAAAUUAAAUUUUUAAUUUUUAAAUUUUUAAAAUAAGAAUAGGGGUGGGAACAAUUAAUAAAAAUAAUUUAUUAUAAUAAAUUUAUAAAUUUUUUAAAAAUUCUACUUAAACUUAAAUUUAAUAAAAAGAAUUUAUUAUAAUAUUUAAAUAUAAUUUACUAUAAAUUUUAUUAUAAUAUUUAAAUAUAAAUAAUAAUUAUUAAUAUAGUACAAUUAAUAAUUUUAUAAUAAAAAUAAUGUAUUAUAAUAUAUAAAUUUUAAAAAAUUAAAUUUUUAAUUUUUAAAUUUUUAAAAUAAGAAUAGGGGUGGGAACAAUUAAUAAAAAUAAUUUAUUAUAAUAAAUUUAUAAAUUUUUUUAAAAUUCUACUUAAACUUAAAUUUAAUAAAAAGAAUUUAUUAUAAUAUUUAAAUAUAAUUUAUUAUAAAUUUUAUUAUAAUAUUUAAAUAUAAAUAAUAUGUAUUAAUAUAGUACAAUUAAUAAUUUUAUAAUAAAAAUAUUGUAUUAUAAUAUAUAACAUAUUAUAUUUAUAUAAUUUAGUUUUAAUUCAAUUUAUAAUUUUAAUUAAGUUUGAAAUUAAGAAUUGGAAUAGUGCUAUUCCACAAAAAUUGUGGAAUAGCAAAUCCCUUGCUAUUCCGGGAUAACCGGGAAUAGCAAGAUUUGACCGGGAUAAAAUAUUCCGACUAAAUUUUAUCCCGUUUGGCGGAAUAGCGGGGAUAACGAAAGUUAUUCCCGCUUAUCCCCCAACCAAAUGGGGCCUUAGAUACUCAUUUGCAAAGAGCCAUAGUUUACCAUAGAUAGAUAGAUAGAUUUCCUCCUCAACUAUUGUUUCUUUCUUUAUGUUUUUGGUCAUGUUGACAUAUAUACGGGGAUAAAUAAAUAGUUACAUAAACAUGAGCGUGCCUUCUAUGGAACAAAUUCAAAUCCUAGUUCUCUUUGUCUUUCUCUUGAUUAAUUUGGUCAAAUAUGAAAGACUCUUGAUAGAGAAACCUAUAUAUGGUUAGGGAGAAACCUAGUGUAGCUUAUAUAAAUAGCAAGAAAUCAACCCACGUGAUAAAUUUCAUUGGUUAUGCAAAGUAAUUAAGGCUCGAUUUGCACGUUGAGAAAAUGCAAUAAAAAAAUAUUAUAUUUAUUUUCGCAUAUAAUAUCACGUUCUGUAUAUCGUGCUGAGUCAAUUACGACAUAUUUUCUAUCCUCUUAUUUAAAAUACGCACAUAUUUUUGUCUCAAAUUUAUUUUAUCUAUUAGCCUUAGAUGAAUCUCACUAACUUAAAAUCUGAACUCCGAAUCCUAGCUUGAAUCCGAAAAUCCGAACCGAACCAUUAUUCCUGUUUACAAUAUUUCAAAAUAUAUUAAAUUAAAUGUGAAUAUUUAAAAUACAUAUUCAAAUAUAAUAUCAAAUAUUUAUAUAUAUUAUAUAUAACGUAACAUAAGUUCAGGUACUAAUCGGUUUUGGAUUCGGAUCGGAUAUAAUCAAAAUUCAUAUCUGAAUUCAAAUUAUUCGGAUUUUCGUUUUUGAUAUCCAUAUCCAAAAGUAUAUACAUUUAGCAUAAGUAAAUUCACUGUAUUCGCUUUCGGGUUUGAAUUCCGAUUCGGAUAAAAGAGUAAUAAAAAAUUUCUUUUAUUUAAAUUUAAUUUUUUUAAAUUUAAAUAUUAAAUAUUUAAAUUUAACAUAUUUAGAAAUAUUAUUAUUUCUAAAAUUUAAAUUAAUGCUUAAAUUAAAAGAAUUCUAAAAUUUCUAAAAUUAAUGUCUAAAUUAGCACAAAAUUAAUGCCUAAAUUUGAGAUAUCAAUUAAACCUUAAAUUAAUGCUUAAAUUAGUGCAAAAUUAAUACUAAAUUUGAGAUAUCAAUCAAAACUUUUUAAAAAUUUUAUCUAGUUUAAUUAAAAAGCAUUCUCAUAUAAAAUAACCUUCUAACCUACUACAUAAUAACAUAAUUUUUUAUUCUUUAUUAAUCAAUAUUUUUUUUUGUUUUUUAUAAAAUAAAAUAUCGAAUCAUUUCUCUUGUAUUAUUUGGACCACAAGCAAUCAUGGAUUGCAGGGGCUUAAGUUAUAAAAGGUACUGAAAUUAAAUCACAAACACCAGGCAUGAGUCGUUCAUCGAUCCUUUAUUGGCCUUUUACUGCUAGCCAUUGAAACCCUCAACAAAACAAAUUAAAAAUAAUUAAAAAAAAAUUAAAAAUGAACAGAGCUUGCAAGUUAGCUUUAAAAGUGUCCUUCUAUUCAAACUUAAAGCUAAUAAUAGUAACAAUAGUAAUAAAGAUAAAAAUGGUGUCUUAUCUUUUGAUCAGACCCCAAAUAUCUCUUCAUAAAUUUUUUUUAUUUAUUCUUUUGAUAAAUUUUCUUCCUUAAUAUUGAUCUCUUCUCUACAUUAUUUUAUUUUAGAUUCUGAAUUAUAUAAUUAAUAUCGGUAUAAAUAUCAGUUUUAAUAAAUAAUAUUAGUGCAAAUCAUACUUCCAACAGAUAGAAUAUUCAAAAGGCAUAGAAAAACAAAUUAAUAAAACUGGCCUUUACGAUCACCACCAACCCAUGAUGCACACAACGACGGUCCACAGCCUCAAUUUAAAUGUGGAGAUAAACAAGGAGACACGUUGGUGUACGAAUCAUAUAUAAUUCAAACAUGUCAGCUUUACUCAUCAAUCACUGGUAGAAUUUGUCCCACUCCUAAUCUGUUAUGCUAAACAAAGAGACUAUUCUGGCGGCAUAGGAGUGGAAUAUAUGCCAUAAAACUAAUAUAUAUAUAUAUAUAUAUAUAUAUAUAUAUAUAUAGAGUAGGCUGUAGGGUUAGAAUACUUUUACAAGUAUCACCCAAGUGAUACUUGUGUAUUUUUAGCCCUUGGAUGGAGAGAUGUGAGGUUGAGAUGAUGGGGGUAGGUGGUGGUAGGUGGGGGUAGGUGGAAUAGUGUUUGAUCCAAGAACUAUUUGUAAUCAAAAAGUAGAUCUAAUGGCUAAAAAUGUGAUAGCAACAUGGGGAUGAUACUUGUAAAAGUAUCCUAGAUCAACUCUAUAUAUAUAUAUAUAUAUAUAUAUAUAGAGUUUGAAGCGCUGCUAUGCGGGGGGACUAUCGAAAGUACGGAGCCUUUCGUGCUUACAAGCUCGUUUUCGAUUUGCGACUUUCGAAUCGUCGAUCUUCGUCCGUUAAAAAAAAAAAAUUGAUCUAGCGAGUAUUGGUGUACCUAGAAAAUUAAAUUUUUAUGAUUUUUCGAUAUCAUUUGCUCUAGUGAUCGAAAUUGGCUCCACAAAAUCAACAAAUUUCAAUGGCCGCUAGUUGAGCCGUUUGCAAGUUUAAACGGUGUAGAAAUAUCCAAAAUCACGUGAAAUUUUGAUAGAAAAUGCUCUUAUAGCUAUUAAAACAGAGAUUAAUAUUUUUUAUUAAAAUUUUAUGUCAUAUUAUUACAGUUUGUAAGAUUUUUAUUUUCAGCCGUUAAUUUUGAGGCCCUUCACUUCACUAAGGCACAAAUAUAUCGUGAAAUCUAAAAUUUAUUUUUAGUACUCUAAAUACUCUAGAAUCAAGUUAACGAGGCCGUCGAUCGAUUCAAAAGUCGGCAACAUCGAAAACGAGCUGGAAGCACGGAAGGCUCCGUGCUUCCGAUAGCAUAGUUAGCCUUAACUUAUCUAUAUUAAUAUACUAUGAGAGAGAGAGAGUAGACGGGGAGAAGAGAGAGAAGAGGAGGAAGAUCGCGCGUCAACUGCGUAAUGGAUAAUUAGUUCAGUCGCUGGGAUUUGAUGAGAAGAGAGAGAGAAUAAGUCUCCUGUAUUUUUGAAAGUACAGAGAUCUCCGUACUUGUAAGUUAUUUUCGAUGAUAGAGAAAGUAUAACAGAACCGAUCGCCGAAUCGAAUGUCCUAUUAUUGAAAAUAACUUACAAAUACGGAGGCUUCCGUACUUUCAAAAGAAUAGGAGCCUAGCUCUAUAUAUAUAUAUAUGAGUGGGCCGGUAUGCUUAUGGAAGCACGGAGCCCUCCGUGCUUUCAAGUUGUUUUCGAUGUUCGGACUUUCGAAUCGACGAUCGGCUCCAUUAGAGUUGAUCUAGAGUAUUUGAAGUAUCUAGAAAAUAAGUUUUGUAAUUUUUCGAUAUCAUUUGGCUAGUUAUCGAAAUGGCUCAAAAUCAAUAAUUUAAUGGCCGUGGUGAGCCGGUUGCAAAUUUAACGGUGUAGAAAUAUCCAAAUCACAUAAAAUUUUGAUAGAAAAUUCUUUAUACUAUAUAAAACAAGAUCAAUAACUUUGAUCUAAAAUUUUAAUGUCAUAUCAUCAUAUUUUGUAAAAUUUUUAUUUUCAGCCGUUGAUUUUGAGCCACUUCGAUCACUAGGCAAAUGAUAUCGAAAAAUCGCUAAAUUUAUUUUUUAAAUACUUCAAAUACUUUAGAUCAAGUCUAACAGAGCCGAUCGUCGAUUCAAAAGCCCGAACAUCGAAAACAAAGUAAAAGCACGGAGCUCUCCGUGCUUCCAUAAGUAUCCUAGCCGCACUCUAUACAUAUUUGAGUUGCGCUGGCAUACUAUUAAUAGUAUUUGUACUAUUUUAUUAUUAAUUUUUUUACCAUUAAAUUUUUUGUUUUAAUUAAUUUUACUCUUUAAAUCAUACUAUUCAAUCAACCACCACUCAAUUUUAGAGUGACCACUAUCAUUCUAACCCUAUAAUUUUUCAUCCAAGGGUUAAAAAUUCGAUAGAAAAAAAGUCUAAAUACUAUUAAUAAUAUUUCAAUUUAAUUCUAUAUAUUUUUUCUAUAUAUAUAUAUAUAUAAUUUUAGAAAAUGAAGAAUUUGAACUAUUGGCUAAGUAGGUAUCACGAAUGUUAUCAAUUUUAUGAUGAUUUUAAAAUUAAGAGUCUACAAACGGAUUCAAAGAGUAUAAAGAACAACCCAAGUUCAUUUAUUAAUAUAAGCAAUGGUUCCGGAGUGUUUUAUUCUUCCAAAAAGUAUGAAAAUUUAUUUUUUUGUAAAAAAAAUACUCCUUUUAUGCUUUUUAUUUUUUGAAAAAAAUAUAAAACAAAAUUAUUAUUUUUUCAUAAAAUUUGGAAGAGAAGUUUUUCAAAAAAAAAAAACUAUUUUUUUCAUAAACCGAACUGAGGAAAUUUUUUUUUUCAACAAUAAAACUAUUCUUUCAAAUAUUUUUAAGAACUAAACGCAACCUAACAUGAAAACAAUGGACGUAAUUCUAAAACACAUCCAUCUAAUGGCCAAUUUUUUAUACUAGUUUAUUCUUAAAAAAAAAAUGAAGAAAUCAAGUAGUAUACUCUCUUUCUCUCUAAAACAAAUAUAUUUUGUACAAUAUUUAUCAAAAUUUUUAUUAAGAAAAUUCAGAAACAUUGUUUAAAUGUUUAACGAUGCCAAGAUGAAAAACUUCGGUGAGGAUUUUUUCAACAAUGCCUCAUUAAGAAGCUCUCAAUCCACUCCCGCCUAUCAAUUUUCUAAAACAAACACGUGGCAAAGGUCCACACUGGAUUUAUAUUUAGUUAUGAUUGUACAAGUAGUAUUUAUUUAUUAGUACAAGAUAUACAUUUUCUUAUUAAAUAAUUUAAAAAUAACUUAUUUUUUUUAAUUAUUUAUAACUAUAUAUUAUUCCUUAAUAACCGCACACGUGUCGCGAGGAGGCCGAGGUGCGGGCGAGGGUGCGGCGUUGGCGGCCAUGGGCGCGGGCGGAGCCGUGAGCAGGAGCCGGGGAGCAGCGCAGGGCACGUGCGCGGCGCGAUGCACGGGCGCUGCGGCAGCCCGGAAGCGGCGCGCGCAGAGCGGCGCGGCGGCUGCGCGGGCGGCCGCGCUUCCGGACGCUUGGCGUGCGACGCAAGCCGACUGCGGGGCGCAGGCGCGGGCGGGUGGGGUAGGGCGGGCACGCGAGGGCACGGCAUGGGCGGCUGGGCGAGCGAAAAAAAUCGCGGGGCCUCACCAGUAUGGAGGUGUUCACAGUGUCGACUCUCGUGGACCAAUGAGAGGGAGAUCCACUCAAUUCUUGUAUAAGUAUAAAAUAAAUUUUAUUGAUUUUUUUGAUAUCAUUGCCUAGUGAAUCGAUGGCCUCAAAAUCAACAUCAAAUGUUCAAUGGCUUGGUAGUGUGUAGCAAAUAUCCAAAUCACGUAAACUUUUGAUAGAAAAAUUCUUUAUACAUUAUAUAAAACAUUCAUAUUUUGUGAUUUAAAGAAUUUAAUAUAAUUAAUUACAUUUUGUAUUGAUUUUAUAUUCCCAGCCAUGAUUUUGAGCCCUUUGUUUAUUAGGGCAAUGAAUCGAAAAAUAAUAAAAUUUAUUUUCUACGGUAAUCCAAUUGACUCUCAAAUCAAUUUAACGGAGCAUCGCGUCGAAAGUCGCAACAUCGAAAACGAGCUGGAAGCACGAAAGGCUCCGUGCUUCUGAUAGCAUAGUAGCCUCGCUCUAUAUAUAUAUAUAUAUAUAAUUCAUUUAUUAAUAUAUAUUUAUUUAUUAUAUAUAGUAUUUUAUUUUUAUAUAGAUAUAUUAUUAUAUAAUAAUUUAUUAUCUAAUUUACUCCUUAUUUUUAUAAAAUAUAAAAUAUAUAAAUAAAUGUUAAAUAAUUUAAACUACUAGUAUUAGAUAUAAAUGUUAAUUUUAUUAUGUUGAGUAUUCACAUAUAAAUUGUACUUUAAAAAAUAAAAAAAAGGAUUGACGCAGCUUAAAUUAAUUUUAUAUUUGAUGAAAGUUAAUUGCAAGAAUCACAAGCAAUGAUUUCUCUUCUCAUUCACUAACUAUCGGGGGACUACGAUACCUACUAAAAAUUAUUUCACUAACUAAUGGGGAACUACUAUGUCUACGAAAAAUUUUUGAUAUACUUAUUUCAUCAUUUAUUAUUUCUCAACUCCUUAGACAUGCAUAUAUAUAUAUAUAUAUAUAUAUAUAUAUAUACAUAUAUAUAUAUAUAUAUAUAUUGCACCUUUAAAAUUAUUCGUAUUUCCAUAAUAUUUAUUGAUUAUUGAAAUUAAAAAUUUUUACAUAACUAAUAUUUAAAAUUAAUUUAAAAAACUAUCGUGCAUACUACGUGGGUCCUAACUUUAGUCAUUAUUAGUAGGGAUUUUUUGUAUUUUAGACCCCUGAACAAUUUUUAUUUUUAAAAUAGCCCUGUCAAAUUUUAAUUUGCAAAAUGUCUGGCCCUGCCACGCAGGCCGCCACGUCAGCCACGCGGGCAUUGCGCUGGGCCGUGUGUUAGUUGAAACACGCGUGAACCAAUUCAUCCGUUUCAACACGGUGAAUGGUCACGUGUUUAGUACGAUUUUGUUCGUAUUAUUUUUGUAUUAUUGAAAGUGAUAAGAGUAGGGAUGUCAAUAGGAUAUGGAUUCGAAAUAUUAUCCAAUUCAAACCCGAAUAUAUAUAUAUAAUUUUUUUAUUUAUUUAUACAAAUAUAUUAAAAUAUUUAAUAAUUUUUAUUUCUUAGAUCUUCAUCCAACAGCGGGUUUUUAAAGAUCUAUACCGUUGGUAUGAAGUCUAAGGAACAUAAAAAUUAUUAAAUAUUUUAUAUAUUGUAUAAAUAAAUAAAAAUAAAUUACGUAUAUAUAUAUAUAAUUUAUUCGGGUUUGGAUUCGAAUAAUAUUAAGAAUAUCUAUAUCUAUCGACAUCCCUACUCCUUAUUCCACUUUUCAAUAUACAAAAAAUACGUAAGAAACACGGUGAACCAUUCACCGUAUUUAGACACGGUGAAUGAUUCACCGUGUUCAACUUAAUACCCUGGCCCCAGCCCUGCCCGCGUGGCGCUGACGUGACGCCUGCGUGGCAGAGACAGGGCCAUUUUUGCAAUUUUAAUUUUAAUAGGGCUAUUUUUAAAAUAAAAAUUGCUCAGGGGGCUAUUUGCAAAAAAACCCCUUAUUAGUAUGUUGGCAUAUACGGUGAGAGCGAUAUAAAUUUACUAUUAAAUUAAAUCAACAAUAAUUAUGGAGUGUCUGUUGUAGCACUGUAAAUAAUUUACUAAAUAUUAAAUAUGGAGAGAAAGAGAGAGAGAGAAAUUAAUAAACGGGGGAGAGGGAUGGGACCCGCCGUACAAGGAUGCCGGGCCAGCUGGCCCGAGAGCGACGGCGUUACGACCCACAACAAAUGCAGAGGAGAAGAGCGUCGGGAUCCUCCGUACACCACCCACAACACCAAACACCAACACCACCCAAUAGAAUCUGAGGAACCGGGCGCACGCGACGCGUGAUUGGCGGAAUAUCUAUCUAUCUCGUUAUGCUCUCUCCCUCUCUCUCUUCCUUUUUUUUUUUUUUUUUGGCGUGGAAAAUGGAAAAUUGGGGGACGCGUUUUUGGCUCACAUCACGCAACAGGGACGGGUGACGUGGCACCGCGAAAGCGAAGCCCGAGUUUGAAUUUUGUCUCAUUGUAUUGUACACCAAUAAUAAUUAGAUAAAUAAACCUGAUUAAAGUUAUUUGAAAUUAAAAUUUUGAAUUUUUGAACUUCACCCUCAAAAUUAGGCCCACUCGUUAAAAUUAAACUUAUUUUUCAUGCGACGAACUAAUAAUAUAACAACGGUAGUUGAGCUCAGAACAAAUGAAUAAAAUGCUGGUUUUGAAGCUUCGAAACUCCUCUCGGCUUGCGCAUUAUUCGUUUCUGCUCACAGAAGUACGUAGCGAGAUGCUUCUGUAAAGCGAAAGCCAAUUUGAAAUUGGAUUGCGCUGCAAUUCAAUUGGGAUUUGGAAAGGUCCUGAUCUUUGAUGCCGUGGGUAAACAUGGUGGAUCAGGUGUACCGAAUAUUUUCUCCUACUUGUGAAAAACAGUUGGGUUUUAGCUUAAAUGGGCCGGGCCAGACCCAAAAGGCCGAGCGGGCUUUGCCACCCAAAUAUUCAGUAAUAAUAGACCGGCAAAUUUAUUUAUUAAAAUUCGUAUUUGAAUGACUCUCUAUUUGCAAACAUUCAUCAAUGAUGUAGAAAGUUUGUGAAAGUACUUGCAAAUUAACAUGACGUCGCUCAGGUUCUCUUCAUCCUUUUUAAUUCAUGUUUAGCGCGGAAACGAUUUUUUAUUUGUUGGGAUUAUUGAUUGCUCUAUAGAUUAUUAAUGAAGUGAUGAUGCUGAUGUACCAAAUCUUUGAUUUAAACAAUUAAUUAGGGAUCAAAUUGUAGAGGUUAACAUAUUGCAUGCAAAGGGGGAAAAAGAAGUCAAAAGUCAAAGUCAUCAUCAGUUUCUAAAUUUUCGACGCAAUGUCCUAUUUUAAUGAGCAAAAUAAAAAAGAUAACGAAAAGAGAGGGUGGAAGGUCAACUUUGUUAGGGAUCUUUGGAAAACAAGAAAUUUGCAACAUUGCAAAAGCACCUAACUGCGUUUGACUUUUCUAUUUAUAAGUACUGUGAAGAUAUAAUUGUGUUGUUUAAUCAGAUAUACACUACUUGUUUUCUUUUUAAAAGUAGAAAACUCUUACCGGAAAAGAAAAUGUGAUGAGCAAUCGUUUGUCACUUUUUCAGGCGUACAAAGAAGUAGAAUAUAAGAGGGUUAUAUAAUUGAAUGUAUAUUUUUUCGGCGACGUGUGCGACUAAAUACCUUGUAAAUUGCGUGUAUAUUUGAUUUGAUAAUAUAGUUUUAAUGGUUCAGUAUUUACUUUCGUCUAUUUCUAGAAGUCGGCAUGGUAUUUCUAAUUUCAAUUAGAAUCGAUUGGAGAAUGAUUUGAUGUGAGAAAACUACUGUUAGUUCUUGACCCAGUGAUGUAUAAUAAGGAGCAAUAAUCUUAUUUGUGAUUAACCAUCCUCGUCCAGCUUCAAAAAUCUCUAAUUAUUUGUGUUGGUUUCGAAUUGGCAAUGUGUUUUUCUUUUUUCUUUUUUUUUAAGAGUUUGUCCAUACAUGCAUUAUCUUGUCCCAGACUUCUCAUGAUAUAAUACAUAUCCUAUCAUAAUACGCGCCCAAAAACCCGGAGAGAGGCACAAGUCUCUCUUUCUGAAAGCACAGGUGGGGAUCAGAUUCACGAAUUGAAAUUUCAAAAUUUCAAAGUAUCGAACAAGAGUGAUUGAGGUACCUGAAAUAUAUCAUGAUUCACUUCUAUAUUUAAAAAAAAUUAGUGUUAGUACUAUUUUUAACAAUUCACAACUCUUAACUAGAGCCUAGAGGCUGCUGUGUAUUCCCUGGACAAACAGAAAAAGAAAAGAAAAGAAAAGAAAAGAGGAAAUAAAGUCCCUUUUAAUUUCGAUCCAAGCAGAAGCAGGGCAACAAACUAAUGCAUGCAUGCGUGUGCAGUUGAGCAUACGGUUCCCGAACAACAUUUGCAAAGUAACGCUUCUUUUCCGUAAACAUAGAGAUCAUGUGUCUACUACAGCUUUGGCCAGAGGAAAUUGUUGUGAACUUUCCACUUCCGAGAAUUAAUGAGCCUCGGUCAUGAGUAAAUAUUCCAAAUCAAAAUUACUUUUUCUCCUUUUUCUUUUUUUUUUUCUUUUUUUUUUUUUAAAUCAAUAGGUUUGGGGUCUAACUUGACGCCGACCUGAUCGGCUCGCAUCGACAAGCGGAACCAAUCAACCAAUCUUGGUUCUGGUUAAUUCGAUGCGCUACAUUGGUACAUACAAAGUGGUUAAUUUGACUCAAAUGUUACCCAACUUGUACGGAACCUGCAUUUGAUUAGAAUCAAAAUGUAAUCUUUUGUUUUUCGUGUUUUUUUUUUUUUUUCUGAGAAUAACUGAAAUGUAAUCAUUACUUUGUGUGUCACAAAAAUAAAAUCUAAACAAAAGUAAUUGCAUUGUACUGCUUCCAAAAGUGAACUGAUGACAAAACAACGCACCGCAGGCUUUUGGGGGAAGCCCCAAAAGCCCAAGAAUCGAUCAUGCAGUUUCCUCUGGUAUUUUUGUACACUUAUUUACUAGCCGCAACAGUAAAGGCUUUGGAUGCAUGGGCCUUGUGUUUGACGAGAAGCUGCUUCCUUGUACAGCCCAAGGCAAAAGGCGAAAAAAGGAAAGCCCGACGCAGCUUCCGCGAAAAGCACCAAAUCUUCUUGACUCCCUGCUGGUGGCUGCUGCUGCUGCUGCUGCUGCUGCUGCUGCAUCGCCCAACGUCGUCGAUCGAGGAAACUUAAUUCGCGAGCCCACGCGCCCCCACCGAUUCGAUCAGCUUUUAAUUGAAGCUCUCACAUUUCUCGUGAGAAGAUAUAUAUACAUGCGUGCACGUAUCUACUGCACCAGGUGCACCACGAACGAUCGAUGCCAAUCUCUCUCCAGAGCCACUCCUUUUUGCACCAUCCAUUAACUGUAGCAUGUAAUGGAUAGAGAGCGAGUGUGAAAUAUUAAACUCUAAAAAUUUCUAUUAUAAUAGCAAAACAUUGGUUGGUUGCUAUCAAAGCAAAAGGUUCUAUGUGUGUAUAUAUAUAUAUAUAUAUAUAUAGGUCCAAAAGGAUAGGCACUGUAUAUAAAAAUAUUUCCGACCAGCUCCAAUGUAGCAACUCUAUACUGAUUUUUUUUUUUUUUUUUUUUUUUNUUUUUUUUUUUUUUUUUUUUUUUUUUUUUUUUUUUUUUUGUUUUGAGAGAGAUAGGUAGCACGCUACCCACUUCGUUUAUUUCAUUUAGAAAUAAACUUCGCUAGAAAUGUGAAUCAACUAGGAUUCGAACUUGGAUCUCAGACACCAACCACUAAGCCCUUUGCCACUUACUCUAGGAGUGGUCACUGAUGUUGACAUUAAAACUAAUU
rnacentral:lncRNA from 1 species